AAGAUAUAGUCAGACUAGAUAGCCAAGAGAGGAGAGAAAAGAGUGAGAAGAGGGCGAUAGAUAGCGAGUGAAGAGAAAAAGAAAGAAGAGAUAGAUAAGUAAUAGAAAAAAAGAGGGAUGAAGAGGUUUAUCUAAAUCUGGAAAAGAGACAAAUGGGAAAGAGUGAAGAAAUUAAGAUGUGGUAGAUAGGUAAAAGAUAUUUCUUGACUUCCAGGUAUCUUCCUUGAGGUUUCCUCCUUUUCCUUCUUUCCUUCUUAUUCUUCGUUCUUCCACCCUCUCUUCUUUUGCUUGUUUUGUCAUUUAUGUACAGACUCUUGUCAAUUGGAUGAGGGAAGAAUUCUGACAAGAGUUCUUCCCUCACCCUGGACUUCCCACAGAUAUAUAUAAACCUUCCUUGCUUAGUUUCUCCAUACCUCACAACCUCUGAGGAUGCCCGCCAUAGAUGUGGGCGAAACAUCAGGAGAGAAUACAGUAGAGUCUCACUUAUCCAACAUAAACGGACCGGCAGAAUGUUGGAUAAGCGAAUAUGUUGGAUAAUAAGGAGGCAUUAAGAAAAAGCCUAUUAAACAUCAAAUUAGGUUAUGAUUUUACAAAUUAAGCACCAAAACAUCAUGUUAUACAACAAAUUUGACAGAAAAAGUAGUUCAAUACAAAGUAAUGCUAUGUAGUAAUUACUGUAUUUACGAAUUUAGCACCAAAAUAUCAUGAUAUAUUGAAAACAUUGACUACAAAAAUGGCUUGGAUAAUCCAGAACGUUGGAUAAGCGAGUGUUGGAUAAGUGAGACUCUACUGUACUUCUAAAACAUGACCAUACAGCCCGGAAAACAUACAACAACCCUGUGAUCCCGGCCAUGAAAGCCUUCGACAACACAUUUCUUGUAUUCUUAUCUGUAUCUUUUUCCAGUAUUUUUUUUUUGCCUUGUUACAUGACCACCACAUGUGGUAGUACGUUCCUUCAGUUUCUCCACAUUUCCAGCAUUUUGUGUUUGUAUUGCCAAAUGUUUACAGAGGCCACUGGAAAUAGAAAAGCCUUUUUGACCCGCAGUCCCAAUUGCAUUUCCAUUUAUUCCAUUUUAUGCUGUUUUUCGCCUGGAUUCAUACCCAAGGUGACACACAAAAGAAUGAGCUAAAACCAAUAUAAUUCUAAAACUCAGUUAAAAUCAUUAAAAUGUUAAGUUAAAAAACAAGAUAAAAUUAUGAGAAAGCGUUUAAAACAUUCCAGUCCACCUUAUGCAACAGGAGAAUGCUAUUUUUAAUAUGUCUUCAUACGUGACAAAUCUGGAAUGGUUUUGUGAGCAGUAAGAUAUCCCAGAAUUUGCUUGAAACUAGAUGAUCCCACAGUUUUGAGCCAGUAUAGGUCUGAUUUGUAGUGGCCAGGUGUCCACAUAGGAUGCUGCUGCCAUUGCCUUUUCCCCUCACUCAUCAGUACAGGGAAGGGGAAUGGAUCAUGCCUAUGUCAUCACUAUCACCUCUUCCUGUCAGCCACAGAGCUUUGCAUGAGCUCCUGGCCAUUGCAGGUACUCCAUUCUGACAUCAACAGAGACACCCAUGCAACUAGAAAAAAAAGGGUGAUUGAUCCUUCUUCUUCGUGGUCACUUCUUCAGACACUUCUGCUGAUAUCAGCAUGCAGCACCUCCAAUAGCUAGAAACCCAGAUGGAGUUCUGUGACUGACUGGGAGUGACAAUUGUGACACUAAAGGUGAGAUGACCAACAGUCCACCACUGUUGAGGAGGGUGCACGUGGCCACCUCCAGAGUCAGUCUGGGGCAUUUCUGCUCCAGAUUAGUCCCAGACUUACCACCCAGUAUAAACUCACCAUAGUUAAUUCACAUGUGAUUUAAUUCACAUGCAAGAAUUAAACCUUCCAGAGGUUUAGCACUAUGGUUGGAAAAAAAUCCAUGAGAUAAUAUUUCAUGCCAAAACAACAAUAAUGAUGGGAUUUUACAAACACGUAUAUAAACUCUUCUUACCUUUUUACCCCAUAAUUAAAAAUAAAAUCAAGGUUUACCAUUUUACCACUCGGAUGCCUUGAAAUGUUGUACUACCCUUCCUUUUCAAAGACAAGGAGGUCUGUGGAUAUUCUUUCCAGUUCUCAUAUCCCCUUAACCUCUAUGAUGCCAAGGCUAUUUAGCAGACAAUGGAACUUGAAGAAGGACUCUUAAAAUAUACUUACCAUGCUUUUAAAAAAGUAUAUGGGAAAAUCUGAAAGUUUUAACACUAGUUUUUAAACUAAAAGUUUUUUUAACUUGAAACUUUUUGAAGGUUUAUAUUCAGUUCAAAUGUCACAGAGAUAGGAAGAGAACACUGAAAUAACUGUUUCCCUCAAAUGCCCUUUUAUGGUUCUUUUAUGACAGAAAUUGGUCCUCACAUGGUUUUCUAAGUUAUAAGCCAAGAAGUCAUUAUCUGGUUUGACUUAUCAAGUAAUAAAGCAAAUGCAUUUCUUGUUCAAUGAUCAUAACAUCUUUCCUAGACUAUGUAGGCUUACCAUAAAAAUCAUAUGCUAUUCUCCCAGUCUUUAACAUAUGUUCUUUCAGUGUGUAUAAUAUUCAACAUUAGCCACCUAAGAACACAUUCAUGGAGAGGAUUCUUUGAAGUUCUCAUCUAAUUCCUUCCAUAAUGACUUCCUUAGGCCAGAGGCUAAUGUAUGAAUUCCUCCUUUAAGAAUCAUAAUUUAAGGCUACAUUCUGAAGUAAAGUGCACACACACAUUUCUCGCUCUGUGAGUUACCAUGAGUCACACGCUAUCAUAAAAACCCAAUUCAAAUGAACAGUGAACAUAAAACUAGAAAUUUUUGACAUGGGGA
ensembl:lncRNA